CGCUAUCAUCCUACGGGAGGCAGCAGUGGGGAAUAUUGCACAAUGGGCGCAAGCCUGAUGCAGCCAUGCCGCGUGUGUGAAGAAGGCCUUCGGGUUGUAAAGCACUUUCAGUCGUGAGGAAGGUAGUGUAGUUAAUAGCUGCAUUAUUUGACGUUAGCGACAGAAGAAGCACCGGCUAACUCCGUGCCAGCAGCCGCGGUAAUACGGAGGGUGCGAGCGUUAAUCGGAAUUACUGGGCGUAAAGCGCAUGCAGGUGGUUUGUUAAGUCAGAUGUGAAAGCCCGGGGCUCAACCUCGGAAUAGCAUUUGAAACUGGCAGACUAGAGUACUGUAGAGGGGGUAGAAUUUCAGGUGUAGCGGUGAAAUGCGUAGAGAUCUGAAGGAAUACCGGUGGCGAAGGCGGCCCCCUGGACAGAUACUGACACUCAGAUGCGAAAGCGUGGGGAGCAAACAGGAUUAGAUACCCUGGUAG
rnacentral:rRNA from 1 species